GACGAACGCUGGCGGCGUGCCUAAUACAUGCAAGUUGAGCGCUGAAGGUUGGUACUUGUACCAACUGGGUGAGCAGCGAACGGGUGAGUAACGCGUGGGGAAUCUGCCUUUGAGCGGGGGACAACAUUGGGAAACGAAUGCUAAUACCGCAUAAAAACUUUAAACACAAGUUUUAAGUUUGAAAGAUGCAAUUGCCUCACUCAAAGAUGAUCCCGCGUUGUAUUAGCUAGUUGGUGAGGUAAAGGCUCACCAAGGCGAUGAUACAUAGCCGACCUGAGAGGGUGAUCGGCCACAUUGGGACUGAGACACGGCCCAAACUCCUACGGGAGGCAGCAGUAGGGAAUCUUCGGCAAUUGACGAAAGUCUGACCGAGCAACGCCGCGGGAGGGAAGAAGGGUUUCGGAUCGUAAAACUCUGUUGGUAGAGAAGAACGUUGGUGAGAGUGGAAAGCUCAUCAAGUGACGGUAACUACCCAGAAAGGGACGGCUAACUACGUG
rnacentral:rRNA from 1 species